AUGGAUCAUAAAGGGGAUCUCGUCUUCGCGAAAAUUAUGGAACGGGUGCUCUGCUUCGAAUAUAUGCACGGUGGAAGCCUCGAUAAACAUAUUACAGAUGAAUCUUGUAAGCUUGAUUGGCCCAUAUGCUACAAAAUCAUCAGAGGGACUUGUGAGGGCUUACAUCACCUUCACACCGCGCAGGAGAAGCCUAUUUUCCAUCUAGACAUAAAACCAGCCAACAUAUUGCUGGAUAAGAGCAUGACGCCUAAAAUCGCGGAUCUUGGUUUGUCCAAACUUGUUUCUUCGACAUUAACACAUAAAACAGAGAUUGCCAAAGGGACACAAGGAUACAUGCCCCCGGAAUAUGUAGAAAGUGGCUUUGUAUCAAAGAAGUUUGAUGUAUUCAGUUUGGGAGUGGUGAUUAUAAAAAUGAUGGCCGGUAAUAUGGGCUACUUCUGUCGUGCUGAAAAGUCUCCCAAAGACUUCAUUGAGCAUGUAACUGAAAACUGGACGAGAAGGUUGCAGGAAAAGCCUGGAUAUUCCUCGCACCAAAUAGAUAUCCUCCGAGUGAGUACAACUGUGGAGAUUGCACUAAGGUGUGUGGCCAAGGACAGAAAAGAAAGGCCAUCUAUCAAGGACGUCGUCCAUGAACUUGCGGAACUAGAAGCUAAGAUUGAGAAAAUGUCACUAGCUUCUGAUCUGCCAAAAGACCUCACUUUCCAGAGAAGCUGCAACGCUAACAUUCUGUCGGUGGAUCCGCCCAGGGUGCUGAGGUUCCUCUUUGAGCUAAGGAAGGAAGCGUCGUGCUGCCUGCACCUAACCAACAACACGGGUGGCUUCAUCGCAUUCAACAUAUUGAUCGAUAAGAACAAGUACAGUGUGCGGCCAGGCCAAGGGACCAUCCCUCCAUUCUACAGCCGUGACGUGGUCGUGAUUCUGCAAGCGCAGGAGGCGGCGCCGCCAUACAUGCGGUGCGACGACAAGCUCGUCGUGCAGAGCACCAGCAUCAGCCAAGAUCUUGUGAUCGAUUAUGAAGAAUUGUUCAAGACGGCCAUGGCGAAUGAGUUGGUUGAUGUUGUGAAGCUGGGAGUCGCUUAUGUCACAUUGGACCAGUAG
rnacentral:rRNA from 1 species